GAUGAACGCUAGCGGCAGGCCUAAUACAUGCAAGUCGAACGGUCCACUUCGGUGGAUAGUGGCGCACGGGUGCGUAACACGUAUGCAACCUACCUUACAUUGGGGGAUAGCCUUUCGAAAGGGAGAUUAAUACCGCAUAAGACAGUAACAUGGCAUCAUGUAGCUGUUAAAGAUUUAUCGAUGUAAGCUGGGCAUGCGUCCAAUUAGUUAGUUGGUGAGGUAAAGGCUCACCAAGACGAUGAUUGGUAGGGGAACUGAGAGGUCAAUCCCCCACACUGGCGCUGAGAUACGGGCCAGACUCCUACGGGAGGCAGCAGUAGGGAAUAUUGGGCAAUGGACGCAAGUCUGACCCAGCCAUGCCGCGUGCAGGAAGAAGGCGUUCUGCGUUGUAAACUGCUUUUAUAUAGGAAGAAACGACCCUUGCGAGGGGCAUUGACGGUAUUAUAUGAAUAAGCACCGGCUAACUCCGUGCCAGCCGCCGCAGUAAUAC
rnacentral:rRNA from 1 species